GGGGAGAUCAGCAGAAGUCCAUCCAAGUUUGCAUUUGCAGAAUUCUGUGACAUGGCAUUGAAGAGUUCAUUCUCUUUUGCAAUAGAGAAUCUCUAGAAAUGUGGCAAAGGUCUUUAAUUGGGCAGGAAGUAGCAAGCCAAUGAGUUCCUCUGUGCAGAAGAGCAAGGUUUCGUAGUAAAUAUUUAAAGGAAGUUGGACCUGGGAAGUGGCGUGAAGUGUGCACUGGAGAAGAGAGGCUGGUGUCAAGGAAGCCACCGGAGAUGGGAUGGAUAGCAACUGGAGGAACAUUCCAGGCAGAAGGAAAGAAGACAAACACAUGUUCCUGGGCUCCACACCGGCACAGUGAAACAGAACUCAUGAAGAUGAGGACUGGUCAUUUCAAGAUCUUCAGUGGGUUCCAUGCAUCUUAAAAUGCUUUGUUAGCCAACGAUCCAACACAAACUGUCAAUGGCAUCUCUGAGAGAUGUUCUUCCAGACUUUUGCUUGAAUACUUUCAGGGGUGAGAUGCCCACUACCUAUCGGCAUAUCCUUUUUCCUUUUGGUCCAGGUCAUAUCAAUGGAACUGUGUCUAGAUAACGAGCUGAAAUCUGUUUUUCAUGGACCUCUGAAGUGCU
rnacentral:lncRNA from 1 species